rnacentral:rRNA from 1 species
GGCGGCGUGCUUAACACAUGCAAGUCGAACGAUUGAAGCUGGAGCUUGCUCCGGCCGAUUUAGUGGCGGACGGGUGAGUAACGCGUGGGUAACCUGCCUCAUACAGGGGGAUAGCAGUUGGAAACGACUGGUAAAACCGCAUAAGCGCACGGUGUCGCAUGACACAGUGUGAAAACACUCCGGUGGUAUGAGAUGGACCCGCGUCUGAUUAGCUAGUUGGUGAGGUAACGGCCCACCAAGGCGACGAUCAGUAGCCGGCCUGAGAGGGUGAACGGCCACAUUGGGACUGAGACACGGCCCAAACUCCUACGGGAGGCAGCAGUGGGGAAUAUUGCACAAUGGGGGAAACCCUGAUGCAGCGACGCCGCGUGAGUGAUGAAGUAUUUCGGUAUGUAAAGCUCUAUCAGCAGGGAAGAUAAUGACGGUACCUGACUAAGAAGCACCGGCUAAAUACGUGCCAGCAGCCGCGGUAAUACGUAUGGUGCAAGCGUUAUCCGGAUUUACUGGGCGUAAAGGGUGCGUAGGCGGCUAGGCAAGUCAGACGUGAAAACCAUGGGCUCAACCUGUGGACUGCGUUUGAAACUGUUUAGCUUGAGUGAAGUAGAGGUAGGCGGAAUUCCCGGUGUAGCGGUGAAAUGCGUAGAGAUCGGGAGGAACACCAGUGGCGAAGGCGGCCUACUGGGCUUUAACUGACGCUGAGGCACGAAAGCAUGGGUAGCAAACAGGAUUAGAUACCCUGGUAGUCCAUGCCGUAAACGAUGAUUACUAGGUGUGGGGGGUCUGACCCCCUCCGUGCCGGAGUUAACACAAUAAGUAAUCCACCUGGGGAGUACGGCCGCAAGGUUGAAACUCAAAGGAAUUGACGGGGGCCCGCACAGGCAGUGGAGUAUGUGGUUUAAUUCGAAGCAACGCGAAGAACCUUACCAGGUCUUGACAUCCGACUAACGAAGUAGAGAUACAUUAGGUGCCCUUUUUGGGAAAGUCGAGACAGGUGGUGCAUGGUUGUCGUCAGCUCGUGUCGUGAGAUGUUGGGUUAAGUCCCGCAACGAGCGCAACCCUCGUCAUUAGUUGCUACGCAAGAGCACUCUAAUGAGACUGCCGUUGACAAAACGGAGGAAGGUGGGGACGACGUCAAAUCAUCAUGCCCCUUAUGACCUGGGCUACACACGUACUACAAUGGCCGUUAACAGAGGGAAGCAAUACCGUGAGGUGGAGCCAAACCCUAAAAACGGUCCCAGUUCGGAUUGUAGGCUGAAACUCGCCUACAUGAAGUUGGAAUUGCUAGUAAUCGCGGAUCAGCAUGCCGCGGUGAAUACGUUCCCGGGCCUUGUACACACCGCCCGUCACACCAUGGGAGCCGGUAAUACCCGAAGCCAGUAGUCUAACCGUAAGGAGGACGCUGUCGAAGGUAGGAUUGGCGACUGGGGUGAAGAC